rnacentral:rRNA from 1 species
AGUGAACGCUGGCGGUAGGCCUAACACAUGCAAGUCGAACGGCAGCACAGUAAGAGCUUGCUCUUACGGGUGGCGAGUGGCGGACGGGUGAGGAAUACAUCGGAAUCUACUUUUUCGUGGGGGAUAACGAAGGGAAACUUACGCUAAUACCGCAUACGACCUACGGGUGAAAGCAGGGGAUCCUCGGACCUUGCGCGAUUGAAUGAGCCGAGGUCGGAUUAGCUAGUUAGCGGGGUAAAGGCCCACCAAGGCGACGAUCCGUAGCUGGUCUGAGAGGAUGAUCAGCCACACUGGAACUGAGACACGGUCCAGACUCCUACGGGAGGCAGCAGUGUGGAAUAUUGGACAAUGGGCGCAAGCCUGAUCCAGCCAUACCGCGUGGGUGAAGAAGGCCUUCGGGUUGUAAAGCCCUUUUGUUGGGAAAGAAAAGCAGCAGGUUAAUACCCCGCUGUUCUGACGGUACCCAAAGAAUAAGCACCGGCUAACUUCGUG